GGUCAAGCGAACAAGUGCAUGG
rnacentral:rRNA from 1 species